rnacentral:lncRNA from 1 species
AAUGUUUUAUAUAAAAUCCGAAACACCAAAAUAAAUAGUGACUUUGAGCAGCGAUUGCUCUCCCCUCACAAAUCCUAAUGAAACCAAACUAGUGACCUUGAAAAGAGCUUGAAGCUAGCUCUUCGAUCCAAAAACUCGAUCUGAAAAAAUCCCCGUAUUUUGCCCUAGGCGGCCGUUUUAGUGGCUGGAGGUCGGAUUUCGACCCUGUCUCAUUUCCGGCCGACCCCCGGAUAUCAAUCUA